ACGCACGCGGCCGAGAAGAGACGAGCGUGCGUGAGGAGAGCCGGAGAAAGUAAUGCGACGGUGGCGAGCGGCCGUCCCCGGAGCAGAACCAGUGGUAGAAUCUCUGACCUCGAUGGUUCCUUUUGGGGUCGAUGGUUAGUGGUAACGGAGAACGCCGACGCACCGCACUAUCUGCUCCUCCCUUUACUUGAUGGGGAGCUGAGGCGUUGCUUGGCACGCUGUUCUCUAUUAUCUUCUUCCGAGGAGGACGGGCCACAAGACCAGGUGCUUCUUCCGCUCUCUAUCAGUUGAUGGAGUACAGGCACAUAUAAUGCUUCAAACUAUGGCAGCAUGCGGAGGAAUUAUAAGCAGAACUAAACAACAGUUUGGCACAUUGGCCAAGGUUAAGAGGAGACAGGGAUCAUAACUUGGACUCUGUUAUAUGAAUACUCUCCUGGCCAAUUUGAUUGGUAAUCUAGGGAGUACCACAGACUACAGAUGUCCUUAGCGGAUAUCUAUAUUGUAGAUGGAUACAAGUAACUUAU